GAUUGAACUGAAGAGUUUGAUCCNNCAGAUUGAACGCUGGCGGCAUGCUUUACACAUGCAAGUCGAACGGCAGCACGGGAGCUUGCUCCUGGUGGCGAGUGGCGAACGGGUGAGUAAUGCGUCGGAACGUACCGAGUAAUGGGGGAUAACGCACCGAAAGGUGUGCUAAUACCGCAUACGCCCUGAGGGGGAAAGCAGGGGAUCGCAAGACCUUGCGUUAUUCGAGCGGCCGACGUCUGAUUAGCUAGUUGGUGGGGUAAAGGCCUACCAAGGCGACGAUCAGUAGCGGGUCUGAGAGGAUGAUCCGCCACACUGGGACUGAGACACGG
rnacentral:rRNA from 1 species